UUACUACUCCCUUCGUCCUAAAAUUCAUAUCUUAAAUUUUUUUAGAUAUGAAUGUAUCUAGAUAAUAAAUGCGAUUAGAUACAUUCAUAUCUGCACAAAUUCAAGAUAAUAAUUUUGGAACGAAGGGACCGAAGA
rfam:Hordeum vulgare subsp. vulgare, WGS project CAJW01000000 data, contig: morex_contig_60009